rnacentral:rRNA from 1 species
CCCUUAGAUGUUCUGGGCCGCACGCGUGCUACACUGAGUAAAUCAAUGGGUAAGGGAACACGAAAGUGCAACCUAAUCUUGAAAUUUGCUCGUGAUGGGGAUCGACGGUUGCAAUUUUCCGUCGUGAACGAGGAAUACCUUGUAGGCGCGUGUCAUCAUCACGCGCCGAAUACGUCCCUGCCCUUUGUACACACCGCCCGUCGCUCCUACCGAUUGAGUGAUCCGGUGAGCUCUUCGGACUGCGCGGUCUGCAGUUUCUGCGUUCCGUGCGGAAAGUUGUGCAAACCUUAACAUUUAGAGGAAGGAGAAGUCGUAACA